AGAGUUUGAUCCUGGCUCAGGACUAACGCUGGCGGCGUGCCUAACACAUGCAAGUCGUGCGGGAGAGAGGAGCAAUCCUCGAUCUAGCGGCAGACGGGUGAGUAACGCGUAAAUAACCUGCCGUAUCGCUGGGGAUAAACUGCCGAAAGGGAGUGUAAUACCGAAUAAGUCUUAUGGUCGUCGGACUGUGAGAUAAAAGGAGCAAUCUGCGAUAUGAGGGGUUUGCGUCCCAUUAGCUAGUUGGUGGGGUAAGAGCCUACCAAGGCGACGAUGGGUAGCUGGUCUGAGAGGAUGGUCAGCCACACUGGAACUGGGACACGGUCCAGACUCCUACGGGAGGCAGCAGUGAGGAAUAUUGCGCAAUGGCCGAAAGGCUGACGCAGCGACGCCGCGUGGGGGAUGACGGCCUUCGGGUUGUAAACCCUUGUCAGUGGGGAAGAACACAAUGACUGUACCCACAGAGGAAGCCCCGGCUAACUACGUGCCAGCAGCCGCGGUAAGACGUAGGGGGCGAGCGUUGUUCGGAAUUACUGGGCGUAAAGAGCUCGUAGGCUGGAAAUUAAGUCUUUGAACAAAUCUCCCGGCUCAACCGGGAACCGUUUAGAGAUACUGAUUUUCUUGAGAACAGGAGAGGGGAAUGGAAUUCCUAGUGUAGCGGUGAAAUGCGUAGAUAUUAGGAGGAACACCAGUGGCGAAGGCGGCUUUCUGGACUGUAACUGACACUGAGGCACGAAAGCGUGGGGAGCAAACAGGAUUAGAUACCCUGGUAGUCCACGC
rnacentral:rRNA from 1 species